rnacentral:rRNA from 1 species
GACGAACCGUCCUAACGUUGUUCGGAAUCACUGGGCUUAAAGGGCGCGUAGGCGGGCUCUCAAGUCCGGGGUGAAAUCUUUCGGCUCAACCGGAAAAUAGCCUUGGAUACUGGGAGUCUCGAGCGAGGUAGGGGCGGGUGGAACUUCCGGUGGAGCGGUGAAAUGCGUUGAUAUCAGGAGGAACACCGAUGGCGAAGGCAGGUCUCUGGGCCAUAACUGACGCUGAGAAGCGAAAGCAUGGGGAGCGAACAGG